CUGCCCAGUGACUUAGUUAAACGGCCGCGGUACCCUAACCGUGCGAAGGUAGCGCAAUCACUUGUUCUUUAAAUAAGGACUAGUAUGAACGGCAUCACGAAGAUUAUACUGUCUCCCAUUUCCAAUCAGUGAAACUGAUCUUCCCGUGAAGAAGCGGGAAUACACCUAUAAGACGAGAAGACCCCAUGGAGCUUUAAACUCAAUAACAACUGUUUCUCUCCAUACCAUAAUAAUUUAACAGAAAUGAUUAUUAGUUUUCGGUUGGGGUGACCACGGAGCAAAACAAAACCUCCACGAUGAAAAGAACAACCAUUCUUUAUCUAAGAGUCACUACUCUAUGAAUCAAUAAACUGACAUUCCUUGAUCCAAAAUUUUUGAUCAACGAACCAAGUUACCCUGGGGAUAACAGCGCAAUCCAUUUUAAGAGCCCCUAUCGACAAAUGGGUUUACGACCUCGAUGUUGGAUCA
rnacentral:rRNA from 1 species